AUCAAACACUAUCUAAUCUAGCCAUUAAGUGAUUCAACUACCUCACCUACCCUCCUCAUUCUUCCUUCCCCUCCUCCCGUAACAGCUUUUCAAUUACUCGAAAUUGAAGCCCGUCGCGUGUAAUGCAAAACGCAUGAUGGAUUAUUCCUUUUGGGGUUUCUUCAGAUGAUUGUAGAUGGUUUGGGAGUUCAACAUUAGGCUUAAAAGCAAAAAUGGGAGUCUCAAAUACAACAUAUAACUCUGUGUUGAUGAUCAAUGCUGAUCUGGAAGAAGUUAAAAAAUUCAGACAAAGGAUAAUGGCUAUUGAGACAGGGACACCAACACCAGUUGCACGCAUUGAGAAAAGAGCUGCAUAUUCAGAGGAAGAUGAUUUUUUGAAUAAGACUCCGUAUAAACCAAUUUCUGAGAUAAGGGAUCUUAUAGAGAAAACGGUUUGUGUGACCAUUGGAGUAGUGAAGGAUUUUUCUCCGGGAAAGUCUUGGUGGUACAAGAGUUGCAACAUUUGUCCUUUGGCUAUGAGAGAAGUAGGGGAUGGUUACAAGUGUUCUAGGUGCAAUGCUGAAUCACAGAAUUUUACUCCAAGGUAUUCAUUAAAUUUGAAAGUUGCUGAUGAAGAAUCCUAUGCAUCAUUCAUCGUGUAUGAAACUGUUGGUAGUGAAUACUUACAAAUUUCUGCUGAAGAUCUGAGGACAAAACAUAUACUGAGGGGUGGGAACAGGAUUGAAUUUCCUGAAGAGUUAAGUAAAUUCAAGAAUAAAACUUUCCUUUUCAAAGUUUCUGUGAAGUUGGAGAACAUCAAUUCUUUCCAACCGGUUUCUAUCACAGUCAUGAAGUUGUGUCACGACGAGGCCAUAAUCAGUUCUUUCAAACAGAAGUACAGUAUUGACCAGGAUGCCUUCUUCCCUGCAAAUUCUGAUGUGAUAACACUUCCGGCUGAUUACUCAGAUAUUAAUAAGGUCCAAGUGAAAAGCUUGAGACUGAGUGGUUAAAGUCGAGAUCCAAAGCAAAAAGAGUGUGCUUAAGAGAUCUAGACACCUCUAACUGGGGACUCUAGCAAAGCUGAGUCACAAUCUGAAAAGGUUCACCCAGUCAUGUGUCUAUGGCAUUUAUGUAUCCGGUGGUAAUACUGGAAAACAAAGUGCUUAGGGCCACGGCCAAAACUCAUAAAAGUAGUUGUGUUCAAGAAUUAAAAUACUUAACUAGGAGAAUCAAUAACACUAUCCGAAAUUCUAAGUUCCUAGAGAAGCCAAUCAUUCUGAACUUCAAAGGUAUUUUCUGGCUGAAAUUGAGGGACCUGAGCAAAACUCUGAUAAGAAGGCUGACAAAGGACUGCUGAUGCUGUUGGAUUCUGACCUUCCUGCACUCAAAAUGAAUUUUCUGGAGCUACAGAACUCCAAAUUGCGCGCUCUCAACGACGUUGGAAAGUAGACAUCCAGAACUUUCCAAAAAUAUAUAAUAGUUCAUACUUUAUUCGAGAUUAGAUGAUGUAAACUGGCGCUCAACGCCAGUUCCAUGCUGCAUUCUGGAGUCAAACGCCAGAAACACGUCACGAACCAGAGUUGAACGCCAAAAAUACGUUACAACUUGGAGAUCAACUCCAAGAUAAGCCUCAGCUCGUGUAAAGAUCAAGCUCAUCCUAAACAUAUACCAAGUGGGCCCCGGAAGUGGAUUUAUGCAUCAAUUACUUACUUCUGUAAACCCUAGUAGCUAGUUUAGUAUAAAUAGAACUUUUUACUAGUGUAUUAGACGUCUUUUAAUUAUCCAGUCUUUUGACUAUCUAGUCUCUUGACCAUUCGGUCUUUCAUGGGGGCUGGCCAUUCGGCCAUGCCUGGACCUUCAUCACUUAUGUAUUUUCAACGGUGGAGUUUCUACACACCAUAGAUUAAGGGUGUGGAGCUCUGCUAUACCUCAAGUUUUAAUGCAAUUACUACUAUUUUCUAUUCAA